ACAGAAAACAGAGGAGCAUACAAUGAUCCAGCCAAUCACAAUUCAGUAAAACCGCCAAAGCAAAAAACUGGCUCGUUUGCCAAUACAAUGUACGGGGAUCCCAACCUUAUCAUCACAUCAGGUAUAAGUCCUGCGAGUUUGCUGAAACCAGUUCCGAAAUUUACGUACAAAAAGAAACAAAAUAAAGCGAGACGUUUUUCUGACUCCACAUCAGAUCGAGAGGACACCGUUACGUAUGAAAAUGUCGCAAAAGGCGGAAACAGCUAUGAAAACUGCAACAAUUUAAAACGGACAAAGUCUAUACAGUAAGGACAGAUGGAUGACAUUAACCUGUUGUACCCGGAUAUUUCUUUACCGAGUAUUCCGAAUAGUCUUGUUGUAUUUGCGUAAUUUGUUUUUGUUUCUUGCCUAAUGAUAUUUGAGUUAUAAUAUAUAUUUUAUCUUAUGGUUUGUUUUAAGUCUGAUCCUCUGACCUUUAAGAGAGUAGGUUUUUUUUUAAAAAGAAAGAUUGAAAUACAAAUAUAAUGAAGUUCUUAUAUGUUGUUUAUUUAUUUAUUUAUUAUAGAAUUAUCGAGAAUAAAUACACAAUGUUACCGAACACAGAAUGUACUGAUAAUGCUUCGAUAAUGGUCCAUAUGUUCAACAAUGUAAUUUUACAAAACUACUAUAUUUAUGUAAAUAAAAUAUUUCU